ensembl:lncRNA
ACUUUACGCACUGCAGACUCUUUCUAGUCAAGACGCACUUAGAGGCUCCGUCUUACAGAUGCUUUAGAACUUCAUUUCAACAUCUAGUGAAAUGAAGUUCUUCAUGCUUGGUGAAGCUCUUAUAGAGGCCAUGUAUCAUUUCUAUAGUGUAUAAACUAAUACGUUGACAUUUAAAGUGUAUUGGUAAAGUUCUACAUCAAUACAUAACAUACCAUGUGUUAUUGUAAGUGUAUAUAAUAAUAAUAAUAAUAAUAAUAAUAAUAAUAAUAAUAAUGAUAUAUGUACUGAUAAAAUAAAAUUCAGCCCCAAAUAUUCUGAACACUGAGAAAACUCUUCUUUUUCAAGAUCAAUUUCAAAAUAAAAGAACUACUUGCUCAAAAACAUUGUAUUUCUUCAUACAUUUUUCUAUUUCGGGGGAUCUAUCUCUUUGUGGUACCGGUUGUAAACCUAGAGCACUGGAUAAUAAUUUUUCAAGAUAAUAAAUGAAUCAAGAAGCUCUGUGAUUUAUGAGCCAUAAAUGAAUGGAAAAACAUUCCCAUCUCCACAUUUCUCACCACUCUGAACCAUGUGCAUGCUUGAACUUUCUUAACCCUCUCAGUACCAAUGGGACGUGUUCAGUACCUUAAUUAGGUUGUAGGAAAUAUCCCCCGUCCCCCUCCCUCCCGUGUGAGUCUAUUCACCAGCAAGCCUACAAAUAAACAGAGGGGUCUCUGCAGGAUGAGUGAGAGCCACUCAAGGUGUCAGUGUUACUGGGACCCACAGUACUUGCAGCAUUUGUUUGUAGCAAGAAAGAGGCUCCCAUACAUGUUUCAUAAGGACUGAGAGGAUGAAGGUGGGGGGAGAAGUGGCUGCUGAGUGCUUGAGAUGACAUUGUGCCCGUUGGGCGUGCCGAGGGCUUGUUUGUGCUGUGGAAGGGAACUUCUGGUUUCAUGGGGGAACUUGUCAUGUUCAUGCAGAUCAGAGGAGUGAAAAGAACCAACUAGUAUUGAUUUGAUUCCCCCCUCUUAAGUUCCGCCUCACAUCCCUGCAUCACUGUUUUCUAAUAGUUUUAUGUAAGGAUUGUGAUGUGUCUAGUUUUGUUGUAGUAUCUUGCAGAAUCCCAACUACGUAAUUCUGAAACAACACGAUGUCAAAUGCUUUUCUUAUGUGAUACUAAACGUGUAUCCUUGAGCUAUAUCUCACUAAAGCAACAACACCUCAAAAAAUAUAAUCAUGCUUUGAUAUGUUUUGUGCAGUCAUGGCUCGUACUGUCAGUUUUCUUUUUUUUCUUAAAACUAAAUGGGAGACCAAUGAGUCCCUUCAAAAUGCUGUAUGGAGUAUUUUGUACAUGAAUACUGUUGGUGAGAAAAUGAAAAUGAAAAUGACUACCUUAGUAUAAAUGCUGCAGACGAAUGAAACCACGGCGCUGACAGCCUGCGGCUCAUUCCAGUAUUGUGCUCCUUCAAAUCAGGAUCAUGUUUCAAGUAAACAUCGAUUCUUUCUGAUGAAAUAAACAUGUAGCCUCUUGUCCCUGUUUUCAGGCACAUCUUUUUUGUGUAUUCUAGGGGACAAACAUUUUCUGUAGAACUGUUCCAUUUAACAUUCUCUUUUUUUAAUCUCUGAUUCUGGCAAUGGCAUGAUUAAAUCUCUGAUUAUGGAAAUCUGCUGUAUUGCUUUAUGGCACAAACCGAGGGUAAACUCAGUGGUGCGUGAUGUGAGAUGUUGUGUGGAGGCCAGUGGAAGCGGACGGGGACGGUGUUGGGAGUGACGGUGUAUGUCGCCUGUGUUGUUUUUAUUCUGUUGACGACGCAGAAUGUGCAAACGUGGCUUUUCUCUUAUAAAAAGCAUUACUAUUCCAACAGUAAAUUUCCAAUUAAUCAAAAAGAUUUGCACAUGCAUGUGGUUUUCAAUGCUAAGAAUGCAUUUUAUUCAAAACAACCAAAUUCAACUUUGCCACCCAGUGUGAUUGAAGUUGUUCUGAUUGGUGCUUUUGUUCCCGUGAAGUGCUCUCAGUCCUCACGGCUGGUGAUUGGACAGCCUUUUGGAGGACACACGGACAUGGGAGAGCAGCAGAAGAGGCCACAUGCCGCCGGAGUGUUCAAGAGCUGAAUUCAUUCAUUUAUCAAAACACCAUCCUUGUGAAUAAAUGUUCCCUGGAUUGCACCGCUAACUAGAAGUGACCCGAGGGGAGGAAAUGCUUCUCUAACCGCAACGUUGUAAGAGGAACAUGAGGAGCUGGGCUGAUUAAGCAAAAUCAAUUUACACUCCUGCCUUGUGCGCUUUCUUUCUCCCUUUAAAUUCCCCACUGUCGUUACCAAUCAACAUUCGUGCGGGUCUCAAACGUGGUGCGUUUGACUAUCUUCAGACUUUAAUUCAGUCUGAAAGGAAAUUCAUACUUCUCAGAAUUCCCUCUUUUUAAGAAUCGCGGUCUAUUGUCUGACUGAAUUGUACUGUCUGAGCGAAGGACCUUCUCCGCAUCUCACAGAAUCCUCCCGGGGCGGAAUCAUGCGCUUCAAGCCGUCAGUGGAGAUGAAACGCAAGACCACUUACCAGCAUCUUGACAUUGCGUCACUUUGACAAAUCAGACUGGUGCUCUUUGAGGGGUGAUUGGGAACGGCAGCACAGGGGUUCAUGAAUUCACAAUGUAGCAGGAGGAGGACGAACGAGGCAGACAGCUGGUACGUUUGUGUGUGUAUGUGUGUGUGUGUGUGUGUGUGUGUGUGUGUGUGUGUGUGUGUGUGUGUGCGCCUCAGGCUUCAUACAUUUUUCAUCUUUCCUGGCAAUAAGAGCAGCAUGCCGGAAAAUGGAGGUGACACGAAUGGAAACAAAGUCGAGGACAAAGUGACUCAGGAAAGUCAGAACAAGUGGAGUGAGAUGUAGUGAGAUGUAGUGAGACAUAGUGAGAUGUAGUGAUAUGUAGUGAUGUGGAGUGAGAUGUACUGAGAUAGAGUGAGAUGGAGUGAGAUGUAGUCAGAUGGAGUGAGACAUAGUGAGAUGUAGUGAUGUGGAGUAAGAUGUACUGAGAUAGAGUGAGAUGGAGUGAGAUGUAGUCAGAUGGAGUGAGACAUAGUGAGAUGUAGUGAUGUGGAGUAAGAUGUACUGAGAUAGAGUGAGAUGGAGUGAGAUGUAGGAAUCUGAGGCACGGAGCGACACAACUCCACUGUGAACGGGUGGAUGUGGCCACUGGGACCCGGUGAGCGUCAAGCUCAAAGAAAAUGUACUCAUCUUUUGUGCAUUCAACAUUUUUUAAGGUGAUUCUAUUGGGUCAAAUAGUGGGAUUAUAUAUUGUAGGGUUGUUUAGCUCCUUUUGGGGGCAUUUUGGUAGUAUUGAAAAUCUUUUAGUUAGUCAGGACAGUGGUCCAACAUGCACACUACCUACACCCGCAAACUGAAUCAGGUAAAUGGCAAUUUGGAACGUUUUUAAAACAUUUUUAUUUACACCAAAAAAGGUCCAUUAGAAUCCUUUUCAGGUGAGCUGCAAUGGGACCAUUGAUCUGUUUCUCACGGAGUGAGUUUGUUGUCUAGCUAAUUGUUAAAUAUCAAAAUGUAGCAGAAGAUUUUCACACUAUAUCAGACAAGGAUUUAAUUAGCGUGAUAACAAACGUAGGCAAAAUGUUAGUUUAAAAGGGUGUAAAAGGUUUUGUUUCAUGCACUCAUAUUUUAUGUGUCUCACAAAUUGUUUUAUAAAUAUCGUAUGUAUUCCAUUCAAAAUCAAAUCCACAUGGAGAAAAAGUUUUCACAUCGUAUUUCACCUGAUGUCUCAGGCCAACCAUCAGUGAUGAUAACAGUCAAUUUAAACACAAUUUGUUUGUGUCAUGCUUAAUCAUUUUCCUGAUUCUAUGAGGCCCAAAGGCUGGAAAACAUCAUCUAGACUUCAUGCUUUGCCUUCGCACAGCAUGUUAAGGAAGGUGAGUUGUGCAGCUGAUGGAUGUGAUGAAUUCUUGAGGCUGUCGAGCCAGCAGUGAUUCUAUUGAAAAAAUGUGCAAUGGGACUUUAUGUUACCGUUGCACAUAAGUGCCGGAAAAGUUACAAACCAGAAGACCUCCAUCGCUUUUCUCCAUGGAUUAAUUGGCUUUUGGAGAACUUUAUUGGCUUUUAGGGACGGUUCAUGUAAUGUAAAAAAAUCCUACACAAACACACCUGGAAUCAUUUUCUCCUCCAUCAUCCAAGGAAAUCAAACCAGAAGUAAUUAUUUUACUCCAAGAAUGAACUGUCUUGAACUGAUCAGCUAAACCACAACGGUUUAGCUGAUCCACUACAGGCGUUUGGGUAGUAAAUGUAAUUUAUGCAGCCGGUUAAUCCAGGAUGAAAUAUCAAACAUUGAAUGGGUUUCCAUGACAUUUGGUACAGACAUGCAUGGUCCCCUGAGGAUGGGUCCUUUGAUCCCUUACAAGGCUCAUUUACUGCAAAUAAACUGAUGAUAAUAGUCAGAUUUUUUUUCUUCCCUGUGCAUUUCGCUUUUCCUUUUUUUUAUUAGUGAGAGGAAUUUUGUAUAUAAGGAAGUCAAUCAAUUAAUAAACAAUCCUCAAAUAAAAUGUUAAAACAAUCAUUUAAAUACAAAACUCAGCCGCAGCUAACACGAGAUGAGGAAGGAGAACUGCCUUAUAAGAUGUACUGAAUAUAUACAGAUGAGAAGUGGAAACACAUGAGAGGUUAAGAUGAGAGAAAAGAGGCACACAGACAGACACACUAUGAUAUUUGGCCUUUAACACAUGUGGCCUGCGCCAAAGGGGGACAUUUUAAUUUGGUUUGGUUUGGGACCUUUGUGCCAGUGAACACGCACACCUACACACACACACACACACACACAAACACAAGCACCUACUCACACACACACACAUGCAGUUACAAUUUAGACUGAUUGGAGAGUGACCUUAGCAGUGAACUCUCACACACAGGACUCCUGCCUGUCCUGAUUAAGAUGUGACCCUGCCGCUGACCACUGGACACUAAACACUGCCAGACCGAGAUAAAACACAGCUGACCAACCCAGAGCACACGGGGACUUCCCAUUAUGUGGAAAAAGAAACAAAACUAAUCCGUGCAACUGCAUGAGGAAGUCAUUUAAAGCUCCUUGUUCUGCUCAAACUGUGCGUCAUCUUGUUCACUGAAGUGCAAAAGUUUCCUACAGAAGGACAUUUUGUCCUUUGAUACUCACAUCACAUUAAGUGUGCUAUGAUUUACUUACUAUCGCUUUUGUUGGUUUCAUUUGAAUUACUUUUUAAGUGUACCCACUUCAUUGGAUGUAGCUCUACUUGACCCUUUUUAUACGUUUCUCUGUUCAAAAAAUCAGUGAAAUAUAAAUCGUGAAAUAAUUUCAAACACAUGAGUUGCAAUCAUAUUUUGGGAGUUUGUUUGUUGUCAUUUUCAUACAGAUGUCGCCGCAAAUUCAAAUUCUGAGAUUAAAGGUUUAAAUAAUCCUCUUCAAUCGGAUAAUUAAUUAGUGUUCCCAGAGAUGAUAAUCUCAACUCAAUUCAUAAUUUACUCAACUGAGUUGUGUCCUCUAAUGGGAAGGACGAAGCCAUGAAAGACGCAGGAAGACUGUCCCUGACACCAUCCAGACCAGAUGUAAUCCUCCUUUGAGUUCCACCUUCAAAUUGCUCCUUAGAGUGAGAACCAACCAAAGGAAUUCUGCCUUACCUCUUGCAAGGAUAUAUCAAGGACAAACCCAAAUCCCAAUUGAGCAACUUCUCCUGUCUUCGCCCUCCUUUCCCUCAUCUGAGUCAUCUCCCCUGUUUCCUCCCUCCUCCUCCUCCCUCCUCCCCCCCCCGCAGUGAGCACUGCCUGCUUCCAGUCUGAUCUAUAAAACAGCCCGUGAGGAGAGAAACCAGCAGUGACUUCCUUAUCAACAGAAAUGCCAACAUAAAUUGUCUUUAUGGUUCCUAAGUCUUCCUGUAGGAAUGCUUCAAGUACUGCAGCAGUGAUUAAUGUAUUCCUAAUAAAAUGUUGCGUGGAAAUAGUUAACAUAAUAACAGUAUUUCACGAUAAGUACCUGAAUCAAGCACAUUAAUACCACAUGGCUUUCUGUUUUACUUCUUUUUACUCUCUUCCCAGUCACUCGCGUCCGCACUGUUCACUGUUUACCCUCCGCUAAACCAGAGAGGACUCAAACAAUAACCAUGCAAUUAAAGCAAACAGCCCGGUCGUGUGCGUCCGCUCUCUGAGGACAAAGUGACGACUGUUUGUGUGGUUCCUUCAGCAUGCCGAGGUCGCGACCCCCGCACCAGAGGUUGGGAUCCCUUAAUGUGGUUGAGCAGCAUGAUGGUGUCACUAACACUUACACACAGACAGACAGUAGACAGUCGGGGAGCUCUUUGCCGCUACAUCACGGUGCCAGAUGUUUAUGUGUUGUUUCGCUCCAUCCAUCAUCACUGUCAAAGGGGGAGUAGCAGUGUGUGUGUGCAGACUGUAGUAUUAUUGCUCCUGAUUGUUAUGCUGUGUUUUGUUAUGAAGCUCUAAUAAUGUAAAAGAUGACAUGGGUCAUCCUGCUGUGCGCCUAAGCUCUUGCACUUGACUAAUUGGAUUUUUGAACCAAGGAGGGAGGAUGUUUUUGAACGGUCUGGUUAAUAUUCAGAAUGGAAGUUUGGACUAUUGUUGGGUUAGGAUCUGUUCCAGGUUGGGCUUUGGCAUGUAGAUGUAAUACUGAGAUUGAGGGCUAGAAAAGGCAAUAAAUCAAUGAUGGCCCUCCGGACUACAAGCACAAAUGUGUCUUUGCAUUUGUGUGUAAGAUAGAUGAGUUGCAUCUAUCAUCUUAAUAUUAUUUAGCACUGUCACCUUUACUCCCCUGCAGACAACACACACACAAACAAAGACGCACACACACACACACACACACAGAACACUAAAUUAUUCCUGUCAUAUGAUUUAAACGUACUGUAGAUAUUUUAAGUUGUUCAUUCUGUAACACAUGACAUCUAUUGCAGUCUGUCCAUCCCGGGAGACGGAUCCCUGCUCUGCCGUUCUCCCGCAGGUUUCCUCCUUUUUUCUUUCAUUUUUGUGGUUUGAGUUUUUCUUGCUGAUGUGAGCGAUGUUCAUCGCGUGUGGCAGACUGUGAAGCCCUCUGAGGCAGAUUUGUAGUUUGUGAUUUUGGGGCUAUACCAAACUAAAGGAAUUGAACUGAGUUAAAUACACACAUUCAAGACAAAUAAAAAAUACUGAAAAACUAAAGUAAAAAUAAGUACCAUGCCAUGUCUUUAUGUCAGGUAUACAGAAGUUAACCCCAAAUUCUACUUUGAGGAUUUUUUUAAUGUUACUUGUACACCGACCACUGUGUAUUUCUUAUCUGCUUUAAUCAGUGAUUUCAUGCAUUUACCAUAAAUGAUUUCUAUAAUUUGCAGGUGUUCUGCUUCCAACAGAAAUUAUUUAAGGUGCAUAAUCCACAGCUGUUAAUUUGAGGAUAUUUAUGCUUUGGUCAGCAUGCUACCAACUAUUAAUGUCUGUCAAUAUGUAUUUUUAUUUACUCCGGUUUUGUUUUAUCUGAUAAGUUCCACUCGGUCUUCUACCCAAACUCUGCCAUUAAAGAGCAGUGAUGUCAUCUGUUACUGUAUUUCUGGUGGUGUGGAAGUCAUUAAUCCAAAACCAACAACAAAAGUGGAUUGACUGAAAUAAUAUUUUUCCAACAGAGAGCACAUACUCCAGACCCAAAACACCACCGGGUGUAAGUAAACCAAAGCUGUCAAGCAUAUUGACGAAUGAAAACAUUCCAUUUAAAACAAACUUCUCACUUUUGAUUAAGAGGAAAAUUUGAAGCUUAAUUUCAAACAUUUAUUAUCAUAUUUAACGUUGCCUGGAGAUGAGUCUCUUUUAAAGGUGGGAUGUUUAACGUCCCGUAAUCCCACCGUGUAACGUUUUUAAAACCUAUGAAAUAAGGAAAACAAGGUGCAACCUUGAAAUGUAUGAUAUUUGUUGCUCAUUAAAUUGCAGUCAAUCCAUCAUCAAAAUAAUCACCACGUCUGUAAAGCAGCUUAAAUACUGCUUUGGCCGAUGAACAAAUGUUUUUAGGUGUGUGUGUCAUCCUCUAAUUUUCCUUCGGAUUGAGAAGGAAUGAAUUAUGCACUUUCUUUGUGUUGAGAUACGUACGAGAUUCUUACUUUCUAUAGGAGUCAUGUCUCCAUGCACAGUGCAGGUUAAGUGGUUGCACAAUAUAGAAUAAAGGGCAGAGUGGAGUGUGGAUUCAAUAGCAGUUACAGCCCAACAAGAAGCAUCUUCCGGCGCUUUGUUUCCAGACUCCAGACUGCACGACAGCCGCAACCGAUGUUUGAUCUGAUGAAGAAAUUCAAUUCCAUCCCUUCACGUUUCACUUUCCCACCCUCUCCUGCCUCUCCUCUCGUCUCAGUUCUAAACCCUUAAAUAAAAGUCUCCACGCUCAGCCGAGCGCCCCCCCCCGUCCUUCCUCUCCUCUCUAAGGCGCCGCUCCGCCCUUCUGCUGAGCGGGCCGGUGGAGGCCGAUUGCACCCCCCCCCACCCCCCAACGGCUUCUUCUCCCUGCUUCACCAACACAGUUUGCAAAGCUCAGCUCAGAGUCACCACCGCCGUUUUUUUUUAUACUGCCAGGAUUCACGUCACGCUCUUUUUAACAUGAGGAUUCAGAAAGACUGUUGCCAACAUUACAGCUUUCACCCAAAGCUGCCGCUCUUCUCAGAGGAAGCGCGAAUUUAACGUGCCAAAGGGAACUUUACUACUUUUGGUUUCCAAAGAGUCGACUAGUUUCAUUAUAAGUGUGUGCUGUGGAUGUGAGCUCCCACCACCGACCACAGACAUGUGCUGCAGAGUUUAGUGUUUGGAAAUCACACCGACAUUAUUGGUCAACGAAAGAGGCCCAAAGACCCAGAAUGCAGCGGGGUCAAAAGUCAAGUGAAGCUAUUGAUAAAAGCUGCAAAUGAGCAGGAUUCUCUUUGAUUGAUUACAGUAAUUUACUGCACAUUCAAACCGUGUAUAUUAUUGAUUAUCUAAACAUAUGUCCAACGUAUGAUGGAUAAAAAUGGUUUACUUAUUUUGUGAAACUCAUAAGUUACGUGACAAACUGUAUCAUUGCCGUUUAUGUUGAUUAUACUUGUUGAAAACAUGGUUUUGGUGUUUUGCCCUUUGAGCUCCUCUUCCACUCAUCUGGCUCGCUCACUUUUCAGUCUUCUGUCAUUUUUCUUUUUGGUGCCAGCGUUUUUUUCUCCUGUCUCCUUUUAAUUUUGUUUCAGCAAUCUUUCUUUCUUUCUUUCUUUCUUUCUUUCUGUCCCUGCCAGCCUCUCGUUGACCCCAUUCAUCUCUCGCCUCUUUCCUUUCAUCGCAUGCUAUUCCUCUGAUGUCUCCUGUGUUUCCUUCCGUCCUCUCUCUGUUCCCCCUUGUCCUCCCCUUCUCCUUUUAUCACACACUUUCCUUUUUUGCCGUUCUCAUUAGCCUGUCUCAAUGUUUUACUUUUCAUCAAACAUCCACCACAUCUUCGCCGUCUGGACACACACAAAGACACACGCACACACGCACACACACACCACUUUGUAGAAGCACAUCUGUCCAGUACUUUCUAACGUUGUACACAUAAAGUACAUUUACCAUGCACAUUGAAUUGCACUCGUCCUCAUCAUAGUGUCUAUAAACCAACAAAAUGAUUUUAACAAAGAGCCAAAGGAAUUAAUCAAUGUGCAGCUUUUUAUAAUGUUUAUCUCUAUUGUCACGUCUUAGCUUUUCUUUUCUUCAUCUCUGUGGCGCUUUGUCUUCUGCAGCCUGCAUAACUUGCCCCACAUGGUAUCAAUCCACUUAACCAUGGUGGUGCAUUACACUGUGUGUUGUUGGGUGGGGGGGCACAUUCAGACUCUGAAAGUGAGAUGGUGAAAACGAAAUAAACUCCUAUUAUAAGAACUUAAACCCUCAGUGAUUUACAAUAGGUGUCCUGUCCAAUUACCUCUUCAAUGUCCUCACUUCACCCUCUCCAACCCCCCUCUCUCUCCCUUACACACUCCCCUCAAACUUUACUACACCUCUCACUCCACCUGAGAGGCCGAGGUCACAAUGUUUACAACUUUAGGUAAAAAAGCCAGGUUAGAGGGAUGGUGAAGCAGAGUAACAGAGAGACAGAUGGAGGUAAAUACUGUGAUUUAACAGAUGAGUUUCUGCUCCCGCGCACUGAAAACCUACUAAUCGAUUUGUUAUUGAUAAUCGCGUCGUUUGCUCCUACGUUUUUCCAUCUCAGGAGUCAAGGACCGUUGCUCAAGGGCCCCGCAAAAGCUGAUGCUCAUCGCUUUUCUCCAGCUGCUCAGCAGUUUUUCCAUUUCAGGUUUUUGUGUCCCCGAGGUUUCCAGCUGCCAAAGGUCAACUGUGACAAAAUGUACAGCGAUUAUCAAAUGUGAAUAAAGACUCAUUUUCAAACUUGUUUCCAGUUAAUGGACAAAGAGCAUCUUUUAAUCCCCCAUCAUCAAACACAAGAGUGAGAUUUAAUGAGCAGCAUUUUCCCACACAAACACAGAUGUGUUUUUAACCGCCGAUUUCAACUGUGUAAAUCUGGGAUUGUUUUUUGUGCGGUUUUGACACUUCUUCUGAUGCUGCCGCUCCUGAUGAAGCACAGGCCGCCCCUUUAAUCCCUCAAAGCCCCCUCACCUCACCUUUUUAAGGCCGGCUUUCAUAGUCAACAUAACUCACCGCCUGGACGCUUAAAGUGUUCUUCCGAUGAUUGAGGCCUAUUUAGGCCCCGUUAGAAGGUCACAUGGUGAGGCCAAUGUUGCAGAGCACACACACAAACAUCCACAUUAAAUACACAUGCAAAAACACGGCGGUCUGCAACAAAGUAUGAGCGACUAUUUUGUAUUAGCGAUGUAGGAUAUUAGUGUUGUAGUGAAUGAAUCAGUUUGCAUUGGCCCGGCAAUUCAAACGGGUAAUUCUGUGAAGUCACAAAAGGAUUUAUUUGGCCGUUGAGGGCAUUGAAAGCCAGUUAUAAACACAGCAUUGACAGAUCAUUUGCUUUUUUAUGUUUCCCUCAGCUGCGGGAGCGAUAUCGUUUUUUCUGGCCAAAUGAUACAUUCAAUAUGGAAUCUAAUUCAAUUUUUGGUUUGUAACAACUUCAAAUGAAAUGUUUGGCCUUUUAUAGUCGUUUCUUUGCACUGGGUUUUUUAAGCUUUUCCUGAAAACAGCUGCCUGACCGUGGGUUCACAGGAGGGGGCGGACACACAACAAAAACAGUUACGUUGUGACCAAACAGCUCAACAAUAAGCAAAAAGCAACACAUAUUUGUUCUGUUUACAGAUUGAAAAUAAAAUGUCCUCCUGGAGGUCAACUCUCCAUCCGUGCAUCUUUUAACUGCAUGUUGAGAUAACAUCGGUGGGCAGGUCCUCCACACUGAAGUGGCCCUCACACAGGCUGAAAAAUGUCAUCAGAUGCAGAACUCUACAAAUGUAUAAAGUGGCUCCCGGGCGGUCAGAACAAGCAGUAACAGUAUUUACAUGCACUACCUUCAGUGUAGUUUAUAAAACAUGUUGGGUUUUGGGGCUUUUAGCCACACAUACACACACAUUUUAGCCCAUCCAUCAAUUUCCGUUAUUGAGCGCACACACAAACUUCUUUUCAGCCUUCAGGCUAAUCUACUAUUUCCACGCAGCGCCUUGUCCUAAUCCUUGGUUUGACCCGGCUGAAAUCGCUCCUCAAGCUAAAUUGUCCACACACACACACACACACACAGACUGCAGACUGCAAGCCCUGAGGACGUCCUGAGAGCCUAUUCGACCUCCUCGAUGCAGAUGCGUUCGGGUUGUGAGGUCAUUUUAGAUAAAUAUCAUUAUGGACUGAAAGCUAAUAAUGAUCCAACUUUUUUAAACAUUGCAAUGUUUGAACACACACAACAUCAAUCUAACCAUAUAGCUUUGCAUGUGAAGCUUUUACAGUUGAUGGGAAAAAUAGACAAAACAUUACCUGUAGAUUUAAAAGCUGGCAUUAAUCCAUACACGCUCUGAUUGUUGCUUAGACUCAAACCACUCUCAGUCCGUGCUUGGUCUUGCACACUCCUCAGAGUACCAAAGCAGCCUUUGUGUUGAUGCAAACAGCCAUUGCACACCGGUUGGUGACUCCAGCCAUUAAGUCUUCUAAUUGGUUGCUAGAGGAAUUCAAAGGUGAGGUCGUUGAGGUGGUGAUAUUUUAGUUUCUCAGUAGGGCAGAUCAUUUAAUGAGAGGGAAGAAACACACGUUACAUUUCAAGCAGCAACAACCCCGAUCCACACGGUGACAUCGCACAACAGUGAGAGAAGAAGAAGAGAUUCCAGCACUCAUGAAACAGAUUCCAAUGCAUUGGAUUCUGUCGAAAACCAUCUGCCCCAAAUAGAGAUCACGCGUAACACACUGUAAACGAAAACCGAAUUGGCACUCCACUUCCUGAUGUGAUAAAUCUUAAUCACGACUCAAUGGAGCAGUCAAGAGUCCGAGGAGCAGCUAGGUGUGCACAGUGGUGGGUCUGACACCACUCAUGCGCACACACAAUUCAUUCAAUUCAUUGAGGAACCCCAAUCCAGUGGUGGGCUCUGCAGACUCCCCGGGGACUUGCAGAUUAGCCUUUGCCAAAGCCACUAAUCCCCUCACAUACCUACACACAGCCUCAGACAGAGGCUCUGCCCCGCGCUGGCCACAUGCAGUCUCAUUCAAAUGAGUCACUGAAAGUCGAGAGGGAGCUACUUCACACACACACAAGGACACACACGCACACACACGCACACGCACGCACACGCAGAAGGAAUAAGGGAUGGAAACUGAGAGAGGGAGCUGAGGGGGUUGAGUGAAACCACUGGGCUGUACCUCUAACCUUCUGUUUCUUCCGCCGUCUGAAGGAAUCCAUGCGGAGGAGAGAGGAGCACCUUUAAAUGCUUAUGCGAGGCUCUGAUGCAUCAGUAGAAUCAACGAUCCAUAAUUUUAAUAUCCUCUCAUGGCGCCGCAGGAAUGCAUGGGCAGGGGAGAGAUUUGGCUCAGUGUAAGAUUUCUAAUCCAAAGUUGGCAGGGCUGAUGGAGUAGUCACCACUUUGCUAAAGUAUGUUAAAAGAAAUCCUGCAUGAAUUUUGCGAAUGAUUCAGCACGUAUAAACCCUGUUCCAAAGAAAAUAUUAGAGUUUUAUUUUUUAAUAAUGCAAUUAUGCUUUAAACGCUUCAACCACCAAACUGGAAAAGAGCCUGCAGAACUCACAUUAUUUCCAAAAGAGUCCGACUAUGAAGAAACGCCCUCCACAUGCAGAGCGCAUUCAACGGCUCUUCACUCAGGUAGGAAGUUUAACAACACGGCAACAACUCUACCGAGUACCCGAUGGAUUCACAGCGGCUAAGCUAACUGCGCCGUAACUAAGACGAGGUCACGAGGUCAAAGGUUAAAACCACACUGGCUCCUACUCAGAGAUUCAGUUUCCUAAUGUCUGUGUGUGUGUGUGUGUGUGUGUGUGUGUUCCUUGUUUAGCCACUUCAACGUAGCGUAACAAUCCCUCUCCUCCCGCUCACCACCGUCUCAAUAUCCUGUGUGGUUCAGUAUGUUGGUUCAGAGAUGUUUGCUUCUUUUCUUCUCCGUCUCUUUACCCACGAAACUGAUUUUUUUUUGUAUUUGCUUUGUCAUUCCUUCCGUUGCUCUCUCAUUAUUAAGGUCUAUCCUGAGUGAUACAUGAAAUAUUUCAUUAAGAUCAGUUAGUCUCUCUCUCUCUUUCUCUCCUUCUCUUGUUUCUGUUGCACCUCUAGUGUUUGUUUCUCUCUUGCUCGCUCCUUCUUUUACUUUAUAGGCAUUUACAUUUUUCCACUUGAGCACUCAAUCCAUCACGUAGACCGGCUCUGAGAUCCCUCCAUGCCCAUUGGGGUGAUAAAACCCGGCACCAAACUAAAAGCAGAUUACACUUCCUUCUUAGAACGGGAAGAUGAAGAGCGAGAGAACAAGAGCUGGGCCACUUUUAAAGGAUUACUGUUCGUAGCCCCUGAAGAAAGAAACGGAUACCCUUCCAAUUUUAAAGGAUUACCUUUAUAACUGGACAAUGCCCACGAAGAAGAAAAAACCUGCCCUGUAGGUUUGGGUUUACUGGCAAGUAUACACACAUCGGGAUUAUCAUUGCAUUAUACCUUUUGGUGGCCUGUUGGCUGUGAUACAAAUGUGCGCCACACAAUCACGUUGAAUAGAAGGUUCCAAAAACCUUUAAAUGACAAAAAAAAAAAUGUUUCAAACCUUUCUAUGCAAACAAAAGAAUGGCAGACUCGUAUAUCACACCAAAGUCCAUCUGUCCAAUGGGUUCGACAGGUUCAAUGUGUCCAAAGAGCCCGAGCACUGAUCUGUGAGCAGCUACUGCAGCUCGGGGGUUAAUUACAGUUACAGUUUGUUCUAAACCGCAAUGAAAUGUAAAUGUAAAAGCUUAACGUUUUAGAAAAGGAGAGUUUCUUCAUCAAAAUAGUGCUAUCGUAUUGUUUUAAAGUGCUUUUACAAACAGUUUCCAAAGACAGCUGCUCACAGGUCGUGUAUACAAACCGUUUGACGGGUUAGUUUAAAACAUCGCCAUGUUGAUUCUGCAUCAACACUGUAAGUGGAGUUCACCCUUAUAGCACAAACAAUUAAAUUAAAGGAAGAGUUGGAAAAACAACGAGUGUGUGGAGGGUUGCUGAUGCAAAUGGGGGGGUAAAGAAAGUUAGGAGAGAAUAAUGAUGAUAGAGGGGGGAAGGAUGGGAGAGGAGAACAUGAAGACAGUGGGAAGGCUCUUGGUAUCCAGGGAGGUAAAUAAUGAGAAUCUCAUGACACAGGGCCUCCAGGAGCGCGUCCCACUUUCCUCCCAUCGCGCCCCUCCUCUUCUUCUCCUCUCCCCCUUGUUUUCAUCCGUGCCCCUCUUAGCCGACUCCCCUUUCUACUCCCAAAUCCUCCCCGCCUUUCUCUGAACGGCGGCACACACAUGCAUGAAUUAAUCUCGGCUUGAUUUGCAUAAGAAGAGAAAAUACUUUUUAAAAACCCUCACGGAGGAGAUCCGAGACAUCAAUGAUUAAACAGUGAUUACUGACGUGUCGGCCUUUUGAAUCUCAUCUGUCUGGAAUGCCAUGAAUACAAAUUUAAUCUAUGGCACAAAUGAGCUUUCGUGCCCCUCUGAAGGAAUUUAAAUGCUGUGCCCCCCCCCCCACCCCCCCCCUGGGACCUUUCAUAUUUUUAUUUAUUCAUCACCAUAAAUGUUUUAUUAAGUCUAAGGAGCAAAAUCUUUCUUCUGAUCAUGAUCUACUUAUCUGUUCCAAGCACAACUUGCACAAAGUGUACAGCUGCACACCCAUCAGCAAAUCCCAAAGCACAGAACUUAUCGUGGUACGAACGUCAACAGCCACACAGGCUGAAUUGUGAUUGUGCUCAUGUCAUCGCCCCAUCACACAAUCAGGGAGUGCACCACGUUUCAAUAGAGAGAGAGAGAGAAAAGAGGAGGAAGAAGAAGUAGAAGAUGAAGAAUGGUACAUAUUCAGAGGGAGGAGAAAGACUAAGAAUUCAUCUAUUUGAUUCAAAGCAAAGUUAAAUUGUUUUGACGACUAGGAGAUUGCAAGAAAACAAAAUCAUGGUAAUAGCGUGCCCGUGACGGCCUCAUUUAUUUGUUUUUGUGGUCCAUGAUAUUUAAGUGAAUUAUCCAUUCUUCUUGUUGCUCUAUAGCUCUGGUUUAGUCCACCGAGUUAAAUAAAAACAAUAACGUAAAGCACAGCAUUCUUUUGUUUCACAAGCGGAUAGACAGUUCCAUUAUGAGUUUUAUAAAGGGUUUUUUGCCAGCUGAUAAUAAAACAACAAACUCAAAUGUUUUUUUCACAAUGUUCCAAAAUGUACCUGCUCAUUUCCACAGUGCAAUUCACACUCAGUAGACCCUUUUCACGUGUUACUUUGACAAUGUAAAACAUCAGCCUAAAGGUAAAUAGAUGGAGCGGAAUUUAGCUCUUUGUUCCCGCUCCUCCAUUUGGACGUGUAUAACAGAACAAACUACAUCCCACAAUCGCCCCCAGCUUCAUUUCCUUCUCUCCUCUCAACACACAUGUUGCCUUAGCCCUCUCUCCUCCUCGGCCUAAACCUCCUCAACCCCCCCACUUCCUUCUCUCCCAGAUCCCUCUGUUAUAAAAUUCCUUUGGGCUGCCUAAGUGAUGAUAAGACCACGUACGCUCUUCGCCUCCCCCUCCCUUUCCCUCCUCGGGUGCUGAUGAGAUCAUGUGAUGAUUUAAGUGUGUUUAUACCAUCGGAUUGACAUGAGAGUCGAGCCACAGGGCGACUCUACAUAAACCUUCUAGAAACCUACUGCAGUGUGUGCGUGUGUGUGUGCGUGUGUGUGUGGGGGGGGUGUUGUCCAUGUAUGUGUCUUCACUUUGGGGUCAGCGGGGUAAUCCACAAGUUUAGAGCGAGAUAAUCAGACCCGUCACUACAAGUGCGAUCCCACACAAACACCCGCUAAUUUGUAUUGUUAAGAAUUCCUGCAGCGUCUUAUCUCCACAUGGAGCGGGUUUAUGUUCAAUAUAUUGUGAACAAUAAGAAACAAUGUAGAAACAUUUUAUUGAUCAUCACGUAAAAAGUCCAAACCACCAGUCUUAUGGAUUAAUAUUUUAACAUCAAACGUGUUUAUGAAUGUAUGUAUGAUUUGUGUCCUCCAAGGUGUUUAUUAUUAUUUUUUUACGUCACAUUUCAAAGAUAUUUUCUAAUCUACUACAAGCUAUCACAAAUUUUAGCCCACACCCAUAUUUCUGUCACAUGAUGUUCACCACACUUUCACAGUGGCUUCACUUUUCAGAACUGCAGUUUGCCUCCUGAGUGAUGCACACGGACAAACUGCAGCGGCACAUGCGGGGCCUCUUCCCUUCCCGUGUUGUUCAACUUUGCCGUCAUGUGAAACAUGGACACGGCUCGAGGAGAGUCUAGGGCGUCCGUCUGUGUUUGUGUGUUUGUGUCUAUUGUCCACUGUGUCUAUGAAGGGGAUUCCUUACUUGUCUGGCAGCGUGACAGCAACAAUUACACCCCUUUCACUCCCCCAUGCGCUACGGUCACUACACAUUACAAGCUACACACACACACACACUAGUUCAGUGUUGUUAUAUGCAAAACCAAUUGUAAAUGCAUUGACAGAUUCCCAGCUCUUCAGGACAUGCUAGAGACACGUACAGAUCCUGAGAGCGUCGCAUCAUAACCAGCAGCACACCCUUCAUUCUCUCACUGAACCCAAGUUUGUUGGGUGUGUCUUUGUUUUAACCACGCGCUCCCCUGCUGAGUGACAAAUCUCUCUGCCAAAGAGGCAAUCCAUCAAGUCUCCUCACACACAUGCACACACAGACCCGCUGUGUGUUAUGAAGAUUGAAUAUCACAGUAGCCUCGGACGAUCCUAAACCGAUUCCCAUCGCAAAUUCUCCCGCCAACCUGCAGCCAAUACACUGAUCACAGCAGGAAUGCAUGUUAGAAUGAUCCAGACCAGAGUCACGUCUACGUGUACACACACUAACAGGGAGGACACACACACACACACACGCAGCAAGCCAUACAUCACCCUCGCUAACACACACACACACACAUGUGCUACAGUUGGAAGGGAACACUCUGAUUCGGUAUGCUCAGCAGGGAGUCUGUUUUCACAAUACGGUUUCCCAUGCGGCCGGACUCUAAAAGGAAAAUUCAGCUAAACGACAGCCCAUCCACACACACUGAGCUCUACACACUGCUGGAAACGCUGAGAACACUGACGGCUGUGGCUUCAUGUUCAGGGUGUAUCAAGUGUUAAUACAUCAUCUGAAUUGAUGAAACAUGCAUUUUUUAUCUCUGCGCAACAGGGAAUAGGGAUGUAUCACACAUCUUACAGGGGAAAAUCUCUUUAAACUGCCGAAAAGAAUUGAACACCAGCACACUGAGUGCAUUAUUAUUUGUAUCAUCAUUGUUACGAUCUUUUUAUUAUUUUUG